GGAAUUUUGGGCAAUGGGCGCAAGCCUGACCCAGCUACGCCGCGUGAGGGAUGAAGGCCUUCGGGUCGUAAAGCCCUGUCAGGAGGGACGAAACCUCGACGGGUUAAUAUCCCGUCGACUUGACGGUACCUCCAAAGGAAGCACCGGCUAACUCUGUGCCAGCAGCCGCGGUAAUACAGAGGGUGCGAGCGUUGUCCGGAAUUACUGGGCGUAAAGGGCGCGUAGGCGGCUUGGUAAGUAGGGGGUGAAAUCCUGCGGCUUAACCGCAGAAUGGCCUUCUAAACUGCCGAGCUUGAGCACGGUAGAGGCUGGUGGAAUUCCCGGUGUAGCGGUGGAAUGCGUAGAGAUCGGGAAGAACAUCGGUGGCGAAGGCGGCCAGCUGGGCCGUUGCUGACGCUGAGGCGCGACAGCGUGGGGAGCAAA
rnacentral:rRNA from 1 species